GUGCCAGCAGCCGCGGUGAUAUCGUAGGGUGCGAGCGUUAAUCGGAAUUACUGGGCGUAAAGCGUGCGCAGGCGGUUUUGUAAGACAGGCGUGAAAUCCCCGGGCUCAACCUGGGAACUGCGCUUGUGACUGCAAGGCUAGAGUACGGCAGAGGGGGGUGGAAUUCCACGUGUAGCAGUGAAAUGCGUAGAGAUGUGGAGGAACACCAAUGGCGAAGGCAGCCCCCUGGGUCGAUACUGACGCUCAUGCACGAAAGCGUGGGUAGCAAACAGGAUUAGAUACCCUGGUAGUCCACGCCCUAAACGAUGUCAACUAGGUGUUGGGUGGGUAAAACCAUUUAGUACCGUAGCUAACGCGUGAAGUUGACCGCCUGGGGAGUACGGCCGCAAGGUUAAAACUCAAAGGAAUUGACGGGGACCCGCACAAGCGGUGGAUGAUGUGGAUUAAUUCGAUGCAACGCGAAAAACCUUACCUACCCUUGACAUGUCCAGAAGCCCGAAGAGAUUUGGGUGUGCCCGAAAGGGAGCUGGAACACAGGUGCUGCAUGGCUGUCGUCAGCUCGUGUCGUGAGAUGUUGG
rnacentral:rRNA from 1 species